AAACUAACGCAAGGUAUUCAACAUUGGCUAAUGGAGAUGACCAGGCUAGCAGAGGAGAAAACGGUCUAUAGUCCAACGAGAAAGGUAGCUCUUGCAUAGCGGUAUCAAAAGUGUCAGAAUGAGAGCUAAUAGCUAUUUUUAAAAUUCGGAUUUCUCCAUUCCGAGAAGAACACGAUAGCAAACAGGUAGCUGAAUCCCCAACCACAUUCCAGCUGGAGAAUGAUAACUGAACUACCCAUGAGCAAUUCAAAUCAAAAGACUUGAAAAAUGGGGUAGAUGAAUGUGACAUAAUAGAGAGAUGGACAUGACCCGACUCUGCACCAAGUGCAAACAAACACACGCCCCAAGGUGAAGAUGAAGGAAGACUUACCAAAGGCGACCAUGCAACGCUAUGAAUUCGGCAAAGUUCCAAAGGAUCGGAAGGUAAGUGAGUACUCAUUUGUGCCACGCAAGUCCAUUUUUGAUGGAGAACGCGACUAGAUGAAGAAAAGAAAUACACACGAUGACGAUUAGUUAAAACAGUUAACAAUGGACUAGCUGAUUAGCGUUCAAAUAAAAAGUAGAAUAGAGAAACAAAACCGAAUAAGACUUU